rnacentral:rRNA from 1 species
AUUGAACGCUAGCGGGAUGCUUUACACAUGCAAGUCGAACGAGUGGCGGACGGGUGAGUAAUAUAUCGGAACGUGCCCAGUAGAGGGGGAUAACUACUCGAAAGAGUGGCUAAUACCGCAUAAUAGUGGAGCGGCCGAUAUCUGAUUAGCGAGUUGGUGGGGUAAAGGUUUACCAAGGCAACGAUCCGUAGCUGGUUUGAGAGGACGACCAGCCACACUGUGACUUAGACACGGCCCAGACUCCUACGGGAGGAAGCGGUGGGGAAUUUUGGGCAAUGGGGGAAACCCUGAACCAGCCAUGCCGCGUGUAUGAGAAGGCCUUCGGGUUGUAAAGUACUUUUGGCAGAGAAGCGGUAUCUGCAGAAUAAGCACCGGCUAACUACGUGCCAGCAGCCGCGGUAAUAC